AGGUAUAUGGAUAUUUGAGUCAUCUAUUUCUUAUCAAGAGCAGUAUUGAUGUCCCCUCUUUCAUUCUUGACAUUGUUAUUUGAAAGUAUGCAGUUUAGUUUCAAGGGAUUACAGCAUUUCAAGGUUAUAUUUGUUCUAAAAUUUACUUCUGAGUACUGGAUUAGAAACAUUUGCAUGAGUUCUGAUGAACCUAAACACUCUGAAUUCCGA